GUCACGCUGUAAACGAUGUCGAUUUGGAGUUUGGGGGCAUGACCCUUGGGCUCCGGAGCUAACGCGUUAAAUCGACCGCCUGGGGAGUACGGCCGCAAGGUUAAAACUCAAAUGAAUUGACGGGGGCCCGCACAAGCGGUGGAGCAUGUGGUUUAAUUCGAUGCAACGCGAAGAACCUUACCUGGUCUUGACAUCCAUAGAAUCUUUCAGAGAUGAGAGAGUGCCUUCGGGAGCUAUGAGACAGGUGCUGCAUGGCUGUCGUCAGCUCGUGUUGUGAAAUGUUGGGUUAAGUCCCGCAACGAGCGCAACCCCUAUCCUUUGUUGCCAGCACGUAAUGGUGGGAACUCAAAGGAGACUGCCGUUGAUAAAGCGGAGGAAGGUGGGGACGACGUCAAGUCAUCAUGGCCCUUACGACCAGGGCUACACACGUGCUACAAUGGCGUAUACAAAGGGAUGCGAAGGUGUGAACUGGAGCGGACCUCACAAAGUACGUCUAAGUCCGGAUUGGAGUCUGCAACUCGACUCCAUGAAGUCGGAAUCGCUAGUAAUCGUGAAUCAGAAUGUCACGGUGAAUACGUUCCCGGGCCUUGUACACACCGCCCGUCACACCAUGGGAGUGGGUUGCACCAGAAGUAGAUAGCUUAACCUUCGGGAGGGCGUUUACCACGGUGUGGUUCAUGACUGGGGUGAAGUCGUAACAAGGUAACCA
rnacentral:rRNA from 1 species